rnacentral:lncRNA from 1 species
AGGUAAGUGGAUCUUACGCUCCUUAUUUAUUUUUAAAUUUUUAUGAUUUUCAUGCAUCUGAUCUUUUAUUGAUGAAAUCAUAUUUUUCAUAAAAUAAGGAUCAGCAUAUGUGAUAUGAAAAAGUAUAUUUUAUUAUAAGCAUUGAUUUCAUGAAUAUGUCCUAUGAAAAUAGCAUGGUUAUGAAGUAUGAAUUUUAUGAUUUUGCUAUCUAUAUAUAUGUAUGUUUUAAGAAAAAGAUAUAAUAAUUUCAAAGGCUCUCAAAUAGCUAUGAAUGAAUCCUUUCGGGAAGGUCGACAUCUGGAGCUAGCAUCUAUAAGAACAC